rnacentral:lncRNA from 1 species
GCGAACUUAACCGCUCGGCCACGGGGCCAGCCCCAGGAAUGUUGGAUUUCUUGACUGGAGAGGUGGUUACAAGGAGUGGCUGUGUCAUGUGGUAACUCUAUGUUUAACCUUUGGAGAAUCUGCCAGACCGUUUUCUAAAGAGGGUGCCUUCACAUUCCCAUCAGCAAGCACUCCUCGAAGCAAUGAUUGGAGACGGUGAAGCUGCGUAAAAUGAAAGAUACCUGGAUCCCUAAGUCACCACAUGGCAAAUAGCUGCCUGGCCUUCAUUUAACUUUGCCUGAGCAAGAAGCAAACUUUUAUGUGUUAAACUUCUGAGAGUUUAAGGUUUGUUUGUUCUUGCUGUGUAGACUACCCCAUCCGGAG